rnacentral:misc_RNA from 1 species
AACGCACGAGACCUGCGGAUCUGCGGAGGGAUCAUUAGUGAACGCCCUCACGGGCUUAUAACUAUUCCAAACCUCUGUGAACCGUGCCCUUCGGGGCUAUUUUACAAACAUGGUGUAAUGAACGUCAUAUAUCAUAACAAAACAAAACUUUCAACAAUGGAUCUCU